rnacentral:rRNA from 1 species
AUUGAACGCUGGCGGCAUGCUUUACACAUGCAAGUCGAACGGUAACAGGUUAAGCUGACGAGUGGCGAACGGGCGAGUAAUGCAUCGGAACGUGCCCGGUCGUGGGGGAUAACGCAGCGAAAGCUGCGCUAAUACCGCAUACGAUCUGAGGAUGAAAGCGGGGGACCGUAAGGACUCGCGCGAUCGGAGCGGCCGAUGUCAGAUGAGGUAGUUGGUGGGGUAAAGGCUCACCAAGCCAACGAUCUGUAGCUGGUCGGAGAGGACGACCAGCCACACUGGGACUGAGACACGGCCCAGACUCCUACGGGAGGAAGCAGUGGGGAAUGUUGGACAAUGGGCGAAAGCGUGAUCCAGCAAUGCCGCGUGCAGGAAGAAGGCCUUCGGGUUGUAAACUGCUUUUGGACGGAGCGAAAAGGUCUCCUCUAAUACAGGGGGCUCAUGACGGUACCGUAAGAAUAAGCACCGGCUAACUACGUGCCAGCCGCCGCGGUAA